rnacentral:rRNA from 1 species
GUAGGGAAUCUUCCGCAAUGGACGCAAGUCUGACGGAGCAACGCCGCGUGAGUGACGAAGGUUUUCGGAUCGUAAAACUCUGUUGUGAGGGAAGAACACGUACCAACUAACUAUUGGUACCUUGACGGUACCUCACCAGAAAGCCACGGCUAACUACGUGCCAGCAGCCGCGGUAAUACGUAGGUGGCAAGCGUUGUCCGGAAUUAUUGGGCGUAAAGCGCGCGCAGGCGGUUCCUUAAGUCUGAUGUGAAAGCCCACGGCUCAACCGUGGAGGGUCAUUGGAAACUGGGGAACUUGAGUGCAGAAGAGGAAAGUGGAAUUCCACGUGUAGCGGUGAAAUGCGUAGAGAUGUGGAGGAACACCAGUGGCGAAGGCGACUUUCUGGUCUGUAACUGACGCUGAGGCGCGAAAGCGUGGGGAGCAAACAGG